GACGAACGCUGGCGGCGUGCUUAACACAUGCAAGUCGAACGGAAAGGCCCCUUCGGGGGUACUCGAGUGGCGAACGGGUGAGUAACACGUGGGUAAUCUGCCCUGCACUUCGGGAUAAGCCUGGGAAACUGGGUCUAAUACCGGAUAUGACCACGAGGCGCAUGCCUUGUGGUGGAAAGCUUUUGCGGUGUGGGAUGGGCCCGCGGCCUAUCAGCUUGUUGGUGGGGUGACGGCCUACCAAGGCGACGACGGGUAGCCGGCCUGAGAGGGUGUCCGGCCACACUGGGACUGAGAUACGGCCCAGACUCCUACGGGAGGCAGCAGUGGGGAAUAUUGCACAAUGGGCGCAAGCCUGAUGCAGCGACGCCGCGUGGGGGAUGACGGCCUUCGGGUUGUAAACCUCUUUCACCAUCGACGAAGGUCCGGGUUUUCUCGGAUUGACGGUAGGUGGAGAAGAAGCACCGGCCAACUACGUGC
rnacentral:rRNA from 1 species